CGCGGUGCGUACUUCCGGCUGCCGGGUUGACAUGAAGAAGCAGCGGCUAGGGCGGCGGUAGCGGUGGCAGCCGAGGCUUGCAGCGGGACUCCCGGCAGAGUGCGCGACGCGGCCUAGAGCGGCAGACGGCGCGGUAGGCCGAGGAGGGGGCGCAGCAGCCGCCCUGGCCCGUCAUGGAGAUGGAAAAGGAGUUCGAGCAGAUCGACAAGGCUGGGAGCUGGGCGGCCAUUUACCAGGAUAUCCGCCACGAAGCCAGCGACUUCCCAUGUAGAGUGGCCAAGCUUCCCAAAAACAAAAACCGAAACAGGUACAGAGAUGUCAGUCCCUUUGACCAUAGUCGGAUUAAACUACAUCAAGAAGAUAACGACUAUAUCAAUGCUAGUUUGAUAAAAAUGGAAGAAGCGCAGAGAAGUUACAUUCUUACCCAGGGCCCUUUGCCUAAUACGUGUGGUCACUUUUGGGAGAUGGUGUGGGAGCAGAAAAGCAGGGGCGUGGUCAUGCUCAAUAGAGUGAUGGAGAAGGGAUCGUUAAAAUGUGCACAGUACUGGCCACAAAAAGAAGAAAAAGAAAUGAUCUUUGAAGACACAAAUUUGAAAUUAACAUUGAUCUCUGAAGAUAUUAAGUCAUAUUACACAGUACGACAACUAGAAUUGGAAAACCUGACAACUAAAGAAACUCGAGAGAUCCUACAUUUCCACUAUACCACGUGGCCUGACUUCGGAGUCCCCGAAUCGCCAGCCUCAUUCCUGAACUUUCUUUUCAAAGUCCGAGAGUCGGGGUCACUCAACCGGGAGCACGGCCCAGUCGUGGUGCACUGCAGCGCCGGCAUCGGCAGAUCGGGGACCUUCUGUCUUGCUGACACCUGUCUCUUGCUGAUGGACAAAAGGAAAGACCCUUCUUCUGUUGAUAUCAAGAAAGUUCUGUUAGAAAUGAGGAAGUUUCGGAUGGGACUGAUCCAGACAGCAGACCAGCUCCGUUUCUCCUACCUAGCUGUGAUCGAAGGUGCCAAAUUCAUCAUGGGAGACUCUUCAGUGCAGGAGCAAUGGAAGGAGCUCUCCCACGAGGACCUGGAGCCCCCACCUGAGCAUGUCCCACCCCCUCCCCGACCACCCAAACGAAUCCUGGAGCCACACAAUGGGAAAUGCAAGGAGUUCUUCCCAAACCACCAGUGGGUAAAGGAUGAGUCCGAGGAGGAUAAAGAAGAUGGCCCCAUCAAGGAAGAAACCAGAACCCCCUUAGGUGUCCCCUGUAACAUGGAAAGCGCGAGUCAAGACACUGAAGUCAGAAGGCGGGUCGUGGGGGCAGGUCCUACCCAGGAGGAGCCGUCGCCACCCGAGGAGGAGCAGGACCAGGCGCUGACUCACUGGAAGCCCUUUCUGGUCAACAUGUGCAUGGCCACGGUCCUCACGGCUGGCGCGUACCUCUGCUACAGGGUAUGUUUUCACUGACGGACGUGCUGGUGAGACCAUGUGUACAGAACGCACUGGCCAACAGCCUGGCGUUAGCAUUCAGUGCUGUGGAAGGAUCUGAGCCAGUCUCAGAAGAAACAGAUCAAAGGUUUUAAAGUCUGGAACUGUGAAGGGCUAACGAGAGAAUUGAGGAUUGAUGCACUGGGGUUUUAAGGAGCCCUGUGGUCCCAAGAAUACAAGCGUCUAAUCUCAGGGCCUUAACCUAUUCAGGAGGAAAGACUCCCACACUUUGAGGAAUGUAGAGUCCUCUGCAGAAGGGGUUAAGGUAUAGGACGCGGACUUGCUCAGUCACUUCCUCUGCUGUGCGCACUGAGCUUGUCCAGGUCCUGCCAGCUUUCCCACUUAAGGAGAAAAACAAGAGGCCGUCUGUAGGAAUUAAACCUGGCUUGUGCUUUUGCUCAGGGUGUCCCCACUGGUUUUCCCUCAUUCGUGUCUCCAUUGAUCCCUUGUAGCAGCCAUCUUGCUCAUGUCCUGCCCUCAGCACCCAUCCACAAACGGGGUUCCUUGAGGACCCUGCCUCAGGGUCAGAGGUCACCACAGGGUGGGUGGCCACCGGCUUUUUACCCUGCCAUUGAGAUCCAGAAGGAGCAGUUUCCACUUGAUUUGGACUGUAAAUGCCAUUUCAGUAGACAUCCACACCUGAGAAGUGAGUUGCUGUUAAAGGGGAAGGGAGGAUUAGCUUCAAAACUCUGGUCAUGGAAAUAACCUCACAAGACUUUUAUCAUUUAAAAAUUUUACCUCUUUUCAGGUGACCAUCUUUGAGUGCAUCAGAUGGUUUAGUAACACACAGUUUUUCCUUAGGGAUGAUUUUUGGAAGGGGUGGGGGCUAUUGUAAAAAAAUAAAUAAAUAAAAGCCUCUUUUAUUGGAGUGGCCAGGGUUUGGGGGUGGCCAGGUAGUGCCAAGUCUGCAGCUCUGCUGGGCGGGUCUGGGCUCAACUGAAAAUGUUUGGUUUCAUUCCAGUUCCAGUUCAACAGCAACACAUAAUCUGACCCACCUCCACCCCACUGCCCGCUCCGCUCACAGAGCCCGCACCUGACUAGCAGGCAACGUGGUAGGUAAGGGCCGACGCACAGCGUGGCCAGUUUGACGGGGCAGAUGUUUGCCCUGCGCGGAAACUACCCUCCCCAGCUGUUGGUAGUUUGAAACUACCCCUUUCAUUUUACUUUCCCCCUCCUCCCCUUCUUUAUGUACCAAAUCCACAACCCGUCUUUUUGAGGCAAGCAGAAGAGGGCCCCAUGCUGGUGGCACAGGAAGGUGGCCUGUGCGGGGCGGCACACGGCUUUUCCCGGGAGACUCUGCGGAGACUGCUUGUUGUGAGCCUCUCCACUCCAUAUUUAUUUUUUUAUUUUUUCCCCAGAGGCAUCCAUAGUGCACUAGCAUUUUCUUAAACCAAUAAUGUAUUAAAACGUUUUGAUGUCAGCCUUGCAUGAAAGGCUUUCUCAAAAAGUACAAUAAUAAACCCUCAGGUAGUGCUGAGAACGUAUGACUUUGCCAUGAGCCCGCUGUGUCAGAGGAAGGAGGACAGCUGUGAGCAGUGGGUAUUUCAUGACACUGUGGGUAAUGUGAGAGGAGGUUUGGCAUUUGUUUAUAGAGAGUGGGGUAAUAUAUAAUGAACACUUGGAUAUUUAACAUACAUGACAGGAGAUGACUCUGUCCGGUUAUUCCCCGCCCCAGUUUUAUCUACUAGAACUUUAUUCUCCAUCACCGCUUUCCCCGUGGGUAUUAGAAUGCAUGUUCAGUCUUGUGUCCUGAUCAAAUACCACGUGCUUGAAAUACUUAGAUCUCUGCUUAUAAAGUGCCCCGUGUAUAAGUCAGAUUUCCCCUUGCAUGAUCAGAUCAUUACGUGCUGUGGUUCCUAAGACUGUUGCUGAACUAUUCGCUGUUCAGCACUGGAGGGAUGUUUCCAGUAACAGAUACUGGCCUCAUUCCUGGCAUGAGACUCUGGUGACUUCCUGGUGAGGUCCGGCUGGUCCCACUGUAACUCAGACAUUCCAAGGAGAUGGGAAGCCAUAGUCACACCUCACGCUCUGGACGUUUAGGCAAGCAGGGUCCCCUGCACACACACCUUUGGGAUCAGCCUCCACUAUCCCAAGUGCACACUCUUCUUGAGAAGACUGUGAUUUGGAACCGAGGCAACUGUUGGAAACCACACCUGAAGCAACCUGGAUGAUGAUGGUCCCUUGGAGUCAGCCGGCUGCUGUCUCAGUCGGGAGGGCCUUGCUGAGAGAGGCCUGUCUGCCCCUGCCCUUGAACCCUGGGGACUGAUGGUGCUCACGACUCUUCUUGUGAGGGGAACUUAAGACCUCCACAUUAAGUGGCUUUUUUAACAAGAAAAAAAGGCAGCUGUAGCUCAUGAGCUGCUCUUUUGCCAGCAUUUUCACAUUUUGCCUUUCACGUGUUAGAAGCCCGUGCAGAGAAAUUCUGUGGUGGGAACAUUUGAGACAUCGCCCCGCAGAGCCCUGUGAGGUGUGGAUGAGGCUGAGGUGCCAGGCUGUAAGCAUUUUGAGUUGGGCUUGUUUGUUUCUGAAGUCCUGUAUAUGUAUGUAGUAGUUUGAGUGUGUAUAUAUAGUAGCAUUUCAAAAUGGAUAUAAUGGUUUAACCUCCUAUCUUUGGAAAACAGAUGGCUCUCCAUCUUGUUACACGUAUGUUAGAGAAGUAGCGAGCUGCUCUGCUAUAUGCCUUAAACCAAUAUUUACUCAGCAGGUCAUUAUUUUUUACAAUGGCCAUGGAAUAAACCAUUUUUACAAAAAUAAAAACAAACAAAAAAAGCGAGGUGUUUUGGUAUAAUACCUUUUCAGGUGUGUGUAUACGUGGCUGCAUGAUGGGGUGGGGCGGGGGGCGCGUCUCAGGGUCUUCUGUGAUUUCACAGAACUGUCAAACUGUACAGUUUUCCAACUUGCCAUAUAAAAACGAUGGGUUUGCAUUUUAGUUGCAACAAUAAAAAUUUUUUUUCUAAAGAAUAUUGAUUUGGGGUGCUUCCCAUUUCUUUGCUUAACUGGGCCUAAACCAGAAUGGACAACCCUGCUUUCCAUCCCUGCUGACGUGAGGCAGAUGCUGUCAAGCAGGGUUACAAGUUUCCACAUGUAGGAAUCACAAGGCUUCCACGAGAGGCACUGGGGCAUUCUCCCUGAGCGGGAGUUCAUUAAACACGCCCUGCCUCAGCCCACUUCCUUCAGCGGAACCCACCUGUGGAACAUAGGGCCCUUGGAUAACUUAACAAACUUGCACAAGUUGUUUGAAAAGCUGUUCAGACCUCAAGAACAUGCCUCUUAACCAACUGCCUGUGAGACACAGUGGUUGUUCCCGCAUCUCAGUACCUCCGUACGGUCAUGUUCGAUGUAGAAUUGACGUGGAAAUAGUAAGAUGUGCAAAAUCAUGUAGUCUUCCUUUUUUGUACAAAAUAAAUGUAAAUCUCCCCUAAA